GUUUGAGCUGUAGAAAGUAUUUGCUUUGAUUAUUGUCAUAAUAGUAAUAUACCAAAUAAGUUUUGCAUCAUUACUUAAUUUGUUGAUAAAUAGCCAAAAGUUCUACAUAUACUUUAUAAUAACAAAUUAAAAAACAAUAAUAUUAUGAAUCAAAUUUACUAGUCUAACAAAAAUUUUCUUUGUAUAGUUUUGCUAAUCUUUGUUUCAAGUUCAAAAUAUUGUAAAAAAUAAAAUGUUAUAAUACCAUCAAGAUGCUAAAAUAAGACAUUUUCAUCAAACACAUGAUUUUAAUUGUGGGGCAAUUAAAUAUAAAUUCGAUCAAACUUUAGAUAUAAGGUGAUCAAUACAAUGAAGGGACCAAAAUCAUUUUUAUAUUAUACAUAGAUAGGCUAGGACUUAAUGAUGUAAUGUCGCCCCCUAUUGGUAAUCCUAGAUCCGUCCCCAAUCACCUCAUUUUUAUAAAUGAUUAUAGUGAUAAAAGGAGAUGGAUGUCCCCAAUAUCUCUUAGACUUUUUAUUAGAUAAAUUUAAUCUCUUUUCUAACGAAAGGAGAUAGACUCAAAAUCUAUUGGGCUCUGCUUGUGUAGGUUUAAAUCUUGCUAUGGAUGGAUUUCUAAUCUCUUUCUAAUGUGAUUAUAUAUUGCAUAAUUUUCAAGGAUGCCAACAUAUCUGAUUCUGGUUGACAAUAUCUGGUAUAUGGAUAAAAGAAACAACCGAAGAAUUGCUUCAUUAGAUGGAUUAGUAUAGCAAUUGAAUGGGAUUUUUCAACAACAUUUGCAUUUGGGAUAUCAAAAUUUAUUUGAAAGAUAAAUUGCGAUCACAAGUUUUAGUAAUCCAUCCUAGAUUAAUUCCUUCUUCUACUUUUAAUCCUAGCCGAAUAGAAAACUUAUGUUAUACCCUAGUUGUGACUCUAAUAUGCAAUCUCGGUACCUGACCAGAACCGGAUCUAAACUCGCAUAAAUUACCUAGUUUAUCACAUCCAUCCAUCCAUACAUAUGAUCUUAGUUUUAUUUAUAAAUCUUUAAAUUAAAAAAUAAAAAUAAUGAAAUGUUAGAAUAUGUUUGAGUAUUUAUACUUGAUUUUAAGCAAAGUAUACCUUUCCAAUUUUUAGUGCAUGAUCAUUAUAUAGGAUUUGAUACCUUAUGGGUACUUGGACUCAAGGUCCACCCUUCACAAACCCGAUACAUAUAUUUUUACUCGAACUCGAACCCUACCCGAUCCUUAAUGAUCGGUUAUGGAACAAAAGUUAGACCCAAAAUCUUAAUGGGUAUAGGUCUAGGUUAAAAUCUUAACUUAACCCUAUCUUCAACCUACACAUACAAGGCUUAUGCUCCAAAAUUCAAGCUCUCAAGCCCACAUGACUCAUCUUAUGAUAACUUAGGCAACUAAAGUUCUAGUUCCUCCAAAUUUACGUUUGUCUUUUGGGAGCCCCCACCCUCUGGCUAUCUCAAGGUGAAUUUGAUAGCAAUGUAUCGGCAGAUGGAGACAGAGGAGAUAUGGGUUUUGUGAUCAGGGAUCACAACUCCAAGUUGAUUGCCGUGGGAGGCGUCGCAUCUAUGACAUGAUAACUAUUAGGGCGGAGCUCAAGGCAGCGUGGAAGGGUAUCACCUUCGUGAGGCGUAUCCUAGGGGCUGACAAUAUCUUUCUAGAAAGAGACUCAACGAUGGUGGUCAAGUGGAUUCGGGAUGAGGAUUAGAGGGUGAUGGCCACCCAUUGCUCAGAGAUAUCCACAGGAUAGUGAGAGAUUGCGUCUCAUUUCAGACUGCUCAUGUGUAUCGGGAGGUAAUAAAGCUGCAGAUUAGGUCGUCUUCUUCAUGGCUCACCACUCGGAAAAAGUCCUUUAGACAUGCUUUGUAGCCGCCCCUCCAUCUUUAUGCCAUGUUCUUUCCCUUGACUCUGUGGACAGCACUCACACUAGAGCAGUGUGAUCGGCCGUUGUACCCAAAAAAAUAAAUAUAGUUUCCCAAUUAGCAGCAAUUUGACGAUUGAGGCUUCCUAAACAAAAAUCAAACACUCAAGUCUUUGUUUCAGUAACAAUUUUAUUUAUUUUCAGUCUUUGCCUUGUGCAUGAAAGCAGAAUACAAGUCUAUAAAAUGGAAGUAAACACUAAAAGGCCUUAGCUCUGAUUGCUGAUUAAUCCAAGUCAAACAAGAGGGCUGCAAAGUGCAGCCAUGCCUCUGAAAUGCUUCACCCUCCCCUAUUUUGAAGUAAAGAACGGCAUUUAAUAAAGCUUUGUUCCAUCAAAGAAAAUGGUCAGCAAAACUAGUCCACGGAGAACAUUCGACCACAUGCUUGAGAGAGAGAGAGAGAGAGAGAGAGAGAGAGAGAAGAUUAGAGUUCAGACUCAAGACUGCUAGUUAAGCCAAGCCGACACCCCACCCCUAUUCCCACAAGUCAAAGUCACGAAGCAGGUGACAUCACCACUCAGAAAUCGCCACGUCACAAGAAUUGAUCGAGGAAGCUUCCUCGAACCUCAACCUCUUCCCGAAGAACCGCCCCAGACCUACUCAAGAGGAAGCUUCAAAAAUCCCACGUGACGUCCCUACGGCCCCUCGAUCUCAUUCCUUCGAAUGAUUGACGGCCAGGAUUUCAUCUAGAGUCAUCCCUUUUGACGCCACCCUCCUCUACAUAAACCAGGCCAACCUUUGGCUCCCCCUCCGGAGCCUCCACCAGUCCACCCAGCCAUGGCCACGAGCGACACCAGCGCAAGCCCGGCGGAGUGGGCUCAGAUCUACGGCCAGCACGGCUUAGGAUCCCCCGCGACCGCCACGCCGGCCAGGCUCAGCCGCGUGUCCGCCGUUGCCGACUCGACGGUGGUCACAACCACGUCGAGCCCGGCUGUCGCCGGAUCGAGCGGCAGCCCGACUUCGCACCAAGCUAUCGAGGGCCGGGUGGGGAAGUCGGCCCGCCGGCGAUCGAGGGCCUCCAGAAGGGCCCCGACGACGCUACUCAACACCGACACCACCAAUUUCCGUGCAAUGGUGCAGCAAUUCACCGGCAUCCCCUCGGGACCGUAUUCGUCUAGUUAUCAGCCUAGCAACCGGCCAAUGAUCAACUUCGGGCUUAAUUUUAAUGAUCCUCGUCGCCAAGCCACGGUGGUGCCCUUCGGGCACCUUCACCAGCAGCAGCAGCAGCAGCAGCAGCAGCAGCAGCAGCAGCAAUACCAAAGGCAAUCUUUCCAGCACCAACAUCAAGGACAGCACUACCAACCUCAGCAGCAGCAGCAGCAGCAGCAGCAGCAAUCAUAUGAUGGUGCCAUUUUUGAUGGUAGCCAUGAUAUUUUUCUUCAAGGUUUUAGCAACCCAAGGGCUAACAUGGAGGUGACUGAUGGCUUUUUCUUGGAUGGCAUGUCCAACCAACUGAUGCCAAGGACAAACUCCACUGACAGCAGAACUAAUGGGUUUUUCUCAUGAGGAAAAAGGUAAAGGAUUAGGGAGAGAAAGAGAGGUUAACUUUUGCUUUUGUGAGAGGGAGGAGAAAGAGAGAAGAAUGCAUUGACACAUGUAAAUAUUAUUAUGAUACAAUAUAUCUCUCUGUCUUGUGGUAAAUGGAAUCUUUCUAGAUUGUGUUAUUUUAAGUGGCCAAACUUUUUCUUCUUUUAAAACGUGCUUCGAGGGAUGGAGUGGAGAAGGGGACAUAAAUCGAUGGAGAGGAUUGUGGAAUCCGCGAGUGGCUCUCCCCAUUCUAGGGUCAACUUCAUGCUGACUAGGCUUCAUUUGAAUAGGUCUUUGGGCGUUGAUGGGACAAAUUGUUAUUUCUUUCUUUCAGUAAAGAGAUUAGAAUUUUCUUUAGAGAUUAAACUCAUGCACAGAAUUACGCAUCGUACUGUACUUGUAGUGGACUGGCCUGACAACAGUUUUGUCCAAACACGUGGUUUUUGACUUCAUGUGAUGCAAUUUUGCCUUCCUGCGAGCUGCAAAAUUUGCUCUCUGAAAAGGAGCAUGAGUAGCCUUCUAAUGGCUGGUGUUCAGAGAGGUAGAUUGGCCAAAGCAUGUGUUCCAAAGUGAAGGUGUUCUCGUCAUAGGUCACUCACAAAGUCCCACUCAUAUUCAUAAAAUUUUGUCUAUUAAAUGGGUGAAGUAUUUUUACUUUCAAAGAAUGAGAUCAUUGGACCAAAAAAAAGAAUGAGACCACCAGUUCAAACAUCUUCUUCGAACGGAUUCCAUGCUUACAAUAACCAGAAGUCUGAGCUAAGUUUGACCCAAGUCUAGUCUAAUGCCAUCCUCUUCUUCCUACUCUUUAAUUCCUCUUUUCAAUUCUUUUUCAGUGAUGGCUCAUAUAUAUUAUGAUGUAUUAUUGUUCCUGUUCUCUCAAAAAAUUUGUCCAUAAUUCUUGUUUCCAGAAUUUCCAUCUCUUGCAUUUCCAUUUUACCAAGGGGAAAACUUUUGCAAGAUUUUCCAGAAACCCCACUCUUGGGAUCCUGAAGAAUGUUAGGUGUCCUCAUAUGAAGCUUGCAUGCGAGUCCUACUUAUCCAUUUGCUUGACAUGCGAAUUCAGCAUAAAGAAGAAUGCUUAAGACUCUUGGCACACAAAUUGGCGAGAGGAAGUUGUUUGUAGAUAUAUAUGAAGAUUCUUCUAGCUUGCCAUGCCUAGUUCAUCAUCUUGCCUAUUCAUGAGCUUCCUUUGGAUCAAUUUUGGGAACCCUUCAUUCUUGUUGCUUUGCUCUGGUGAAGCUUAUGGAAGACUCCACAUUAACAGCACACAGAGGACUUCACCUAGAAACUAAUAGGCCUUGGCUAAGUUUUACCAUUUGUUGUGGAUAACCAUAUAGCUCAAAUUAUAAAUAUACACAAAACUCACCACCAAGAGGUCAUGCUAACUGAGCUUGUCUUUCAAAUAUCUCGAGUUGUUUUAUGGUAUCUGUGAGGAUCCGUGCGAGCGUGUAUUUAGUUCCACAUCGGUUAUUCGCUGGAUAGAUCUUGAUACUUAUAUAAGAUCAAGGAACCCAAAUAAUACCUUCCGGCUAGCCAUUUUGGGUGAGGUCCUGAGUUGUUACAAAUGGUAUCAGAGCGGAACCGGCCCAUAACCUAUGUGGACUAGGGGACACUGCAACACGUAUCCAUCGGGGCUGACCACGGGCCAAUCGUGGUGUUUGUGAUUAGAUUUGAACAUUUAGCCUGACGAGGACGUCAGGACUUAAACGGAGGGAGUAUGUGAGGAUCUGUGUGGACGUGUGUUUAGUUCUACAUCGGUUAUUCGCUGGGUAGAUCUUGGGUACCUAUACAGGAUCAAGGACCCAAAUAAUACCUUCCNNNNNNNNNNNNNNNNNNNNNNNNNNNNNNNNNNNNNNNNNNNNNNNNNNNUGGUAUCAGAGCGGAUACAACCCAUAACCUAUGUAGACUAGGGGACACUGCAGCACGGAUCCAUUGGGGCUGACCAUGAGCCAAUCGUAGUGUUUGUGAUUAGAUUUGAAUAGAUUUGAACCCUUAGCCUGACGAGGACGUCAGGGCUUGAACAGGGGGAGUAUGUGAGGAUCCGUGCGGGCGUGUGUUUAGUCCCCCAUCGGUUAUUCGCUGGAUAGAUCUUGGGUACUUAUACAGGAUUAAGGAACCCAAAUAAUACCUUCCGGCUAGCCAUUUUGGGUGAGGUCCUGAGUUGUUAUAGUAUCAGAGCAAGUCAAUCAGAACAUGCCAUUCUGUUUUCCCGACAAGGCUAGCUCGUAUUGCCUCUGAUGCUGCCUUGUCUCCUAUUGGUGCUAUUUUGGCUGCUGGAGUUUCUGCUACAGAGGGUGUCAUUACUCCAAUUUCUGGUUUGAAUCAACUUCCUUGAAGCCUGAUUGCCAUAACUAUUUGUUGUGGCAUUCUCUACUUGUGCCAUUUCUCACGACCUGCUAGUUUAUGCCCAAUCCAGCCUUUUCUCCCUCAGAGAGACAAGACAAGUUGAUGCUAAGCUGGUUGUUAUCUUCCCUUACUGAAGGCGUUCUUUCCCAAGUUGUGGAAUUGCAAACUUCUCAAACUGUUCGGGCAUAAUUUAGGAGAUAUUAGGCUCAAUCUCGAGCUGGUUCCAUGCAACUCGAGUUUCAAUUGCAGAAUCACAAAAAGGAAGGGCUUUCCAUGCGUGAUUAUCUUCAUAAAGUCUAGACCUUGCUUGAUAGUCUUGUAGCCUGAUGAGAACUUGAUGAAUAUCAUCCUCAUUGAUUUAGGACUGGAAUAUGAAUCAUUGAUGACCUCAAUCAACACUCAUGCUGACCCAAUUUCUCUUGAUGAUUUUUAUGUCUAUCAUUAAAACCAGAAGGAUCAUGUUGAGCUCCUCCUCCCUGCUUUUCAUAAUGAAUGGUUUCUCGACUCCGGAGCUACGAACCAUGUGACACCAGACCUUCAUAGCACAGAUCAAGUCAAAGUUGGAAUGACCAAAGGUCUUUCUAUAUCUCAUUGGAUCCUCUACUUUACACACUUCUUAUGGUUCUUUUCUUUUAAAUAACCUUUAGCCAUGAUAAUAAUGUUUACUUUGUGUUUCGCUCGGUUUGUUUUAUAAAGGACUGUUGGUCGGAGAAGAAUCUACUCUAAGGUUUUGCUUAAGGUCUGAGCCUGCCUGUUUUUAUUGGCGAAAAGGCUUCUCCUUAGAUUGUUGGUAUCAACUCUUGGGCCAUGCUAUGUUGAGGACUGUCAGACAAGUUAUUCCAAAAAAUAAAUUGCCAUUGCCUUCCACCCAGUCUUCUGCUCUCUGCGAAGAAUGCCAACUUCGUAAAAGUCAUAAAUUACCUUUUGUUUCAUCUUUACCGGACCAUUAGACAUUGUUUCUAGUGUUUGGGGACCUGCACCAGUUCUAUCUUCUGCUAGCAAUUGUUAUUAUGUUCAGUUUGUUGAUCAUUUUAAUAAGUUCUUAUUACAUCAGUUCGAAAAUCUGAUGUUUUCGCUGUCUUAUAUAAAUUUCAAAAUUCAUAUGGAGAACGUUUCUAAUGCAAAAAUCAUAUAUCUACAAUGUGAUUGUGGAGGUGAGUAUGACAAGUUGUCUGUGCUUUUGCAAGCUCUUCUAUCAUUUAUUGUAAGUGGAUAUACAAAAUUGAGCAGUGUUCUAAUGCCCAAACUGAGUGGUACAAAGCUCGAAGGAAUUGACUAUACCGACACAUUCAUCCCUGUUGUCAAACAAACUACAAUCCGGAUAUUUCUUACCCUUGCCAUCUCCAAUGAUCGGUCUCUUCUUUUCAGUAAGAAAAUAAAGUGGAUGCAUAAUCUCUUGUAAUCCUUUGAAAUGCACAUUCUGCUUUAAAGAGUGCUUACAUGUUUCCUACUUCAUUCCCUUAAUGAAGAUAGCUGGAGCUUUUGCUCUUCCUUUUUCCCUCAAAAAAAAAAAAAAAAAUAGAUUCAUGGAUCACCCCACACCAUAUACAUCUAGAAGCAAACUAGAAUCCAUAGCCUCAAGCUACUAGGCUUCAUAUGAUCAUUCAGGGUAUGCAUUGAUGACCAUAUAGGUUCAUCUUAAAUAAUCUAAUAUGCUCAAACUCUACUAAGUAAAAGCAUAUAAGCCACAAUUCAUAUGGCAAAUAAUAUCAUGCUAUCCUAUUUUACAAUGAAUCCAAUCAUCUUUGUUAGCUUUACAGGUCAUCAUAACACUUCAGUGAAAAACACCAAAAGAAUCAAGCAGAGCAGCAUCCUAACCCUGAAACAUUUUGAAGCCCCAGAUAGCUCGUAAACAAACUACUAACUAGGUGAUCAGAGAAAUUGAUCGAAGGCAUGAAUAACUUAAUCCAUGAAAAGCACUAUAACAGUAAUAUACAUGGAAAACUUCCUCCUUCUCAAACAGAGUAAUAAGCUUGGUUCCAAAAAGAAAUAGAAUAAAAAUCAAUAAUGUGAUUCAAACAGAAUUGUUUGAUACACAACUUUUCACCAACACCUUGCAUUGACGACCAUAUAACUUCUAGUUAGUCAAUAUAUGUUGUUCAUCUGCGUAUUUGUUUAAACAACCUUUACAUGUCCUGGUAAUUAUCUCGGGAAAUGAGAUCAAAUGACCCAUGGCUCCUCACGAACUUCUGAUCCAUUGUCAUUUGAAAUCAAACAGACGAAGAGUUUGCACGCCUACCUCAUGCAAUAAACUAUUUGUCUUCAAAACUCAAAUGCUUCAUACACCAAUGAAUUUUGCCAAUCCAUACAUACGCACACAUAUAUACAUUUACUUAUGUAUGGACAUAUGCAUGUAUUCGCUCGAGCAUGUGCAGUCACACACACACACACAGAGAGAGAGAGAGAGAGAGAGAGAGAGAGAGAGAGAGAGAGAGAGAGAGAGAGNNNNNNNNNNNNNNNNNNNNGAGAGAGAGAGAUGAACAAGUAAAGACUUCCACUCUCCUGUAAAUAAAAAUCGAUAUGAAGGUUUAUUGAAGAUAGGCACUUAGAUAUGAUUUCAAACAAUAGUUCCAUUAGAAGGAGGAGAUCUAGUUAAAAGGUUGCAACCAUUGGUCUCCAUCGAUGUAAGAAGCAUUGAGGAAGGGUAAAGCUUGUGCAUCACUGAGCUUUUGAACAUAUGGUGCCCUCAUGCUUUGAUUUGCACCAGGCCCGCUACACUUGUAUUCUCCAUAAAAUAAAGUCCUGUCGCCAGAAAGCAAUAAAAAAACAAAAACUCAUGACCUCACUUUGUAGAACUCCAUCUAGUUUCUGUAGUUGAAAACUAAAAAACAAAACAAGAACAAAACAGUUUUUAAUGUAUACUAACUUAUGCAAGAGGAGAAACUAGGUUUUUAUCCUUACUGAUCUCUAGCAGGGUCAUUGAAAUCAUUCCAGCCUUCUGGAGAAAUGAUGUCAGUCAUGAAAGUGUUUAUGAAGACGACACGAGAGUAGGGCCUCCAAGCUCGGCCUAACCAAAUUCGUCCAGUUCCACCAAUGGUACAGUUGACAAAGGAAAAGCCAGUGUUCUCAUCACCUGAUGCUCGACCAUGCGCGGUCACUGCUCCAUUUAUUACCUUCAAUCCAGCAGGCACUGGGGAGGCUAUUGAAAUCAUUUCGCAACUCUGAAACACAUGGAUAUAGCAGGAGGUUGGACAUGUUAUUUCUUUUUGAAAAGAAGAAUGGACAUGUUUUUUUCUUAAACACUAUUUAUUGUGGGAAAAAAGUGGCUUCCUUUCCAUAUUUUUACACUAUGAAUGGACUAGAGAGGAAAAUUAGAUAGAUAUAUAUUCCCUUAAUCUACAUCUGUGAGUCCUUAGAUUUGUUCCUUGCUAUCUAAGGAGCAAGCAUAACGUCAAAAAAUGAAGGCUAAUUACUUUCUUCUCAAUGUAUUUGGAGAACCAUAGAACAUACAUGAGGCACUGUUAGAGCAUGAACUGGAUUGAUUCUAACAGUCAGCUGUGUCUUUUUUGAUUCCAAAGCUAUUGCAUCCAGUGAGGAAAGUGAAGCCAGCUGCAUCUUUAUUCUAAGUGCACCAUAUACCGAUUAUCUUAUCCAUCGCAUCCUUCAUGUACAGAUGAUGGUUUUCCAGAGGAUCAUGACAAGAAAUAGUCUGUCUCAAUGAGACAAAUUAUUCAGGCCUUAACCAAACCCAAACCUCACCUAUAUUAAUGAGCUUAAAUGGCAUAUAGUCCUGAAACUCUAAACUGAGACAAUGAGCUAAAAAGGGAGGCGGCUAAAAGGAGCCACCUGGCUUUUAUUAAAAUAGAUAAAAGAAACUACAACUUGGAAUAGAGAACAAGAUCAGUUAGAAAGAAAUAGGAAAGAAUAUUGGAAUCCAAAUGAAAAAUCAGACAAUUGGAAGACAGUUAGGAAUAUCCUUGAUUUUUCUCCAAAUUCUGCUGAAAGCUGGUAGCUUUUUAUUUCAUUACAAAGUAUAGACCAUUCGUUGAAAUUAUGAAGACCAGCAUAAGCAAUAGAAGUGAAUUAACCAACAAUGUUCUAUUUUCAUGAGAAUUUGGCCUCCAUAUAUGUGUUUGAUGUUGAGAUUAUCAAAGCUCUCUCUAAAAGGGGAAAAAUACAACCUUUUCCAAUGGACUUCUCUGUUCAAAUACAUCAUAGUGCUUGGUUUGAUUUUUUUUUUUUUUUUUUUUAAAAGCAAGGCCAUGGUGUUGCAAGGUGUAUUCUUACAGAGUUCUAUCCAUUAUAACUACAAGUUCAAUAGCUAAGUAGACGAUACUUUCUUAUUAUUUACAUAUCCAAUUCAGUGAUUAGGCUUUGCCUAAUAUUUCCUUAAAAAAAAGCCUAUAUGUCCAAAUUUACAAUCAGGUGCACUAGUCCUAAAGCCAGGCCAGCUUACUUUAUGGACAACCGAACUGUAAUAUCCACCAGUACCCAUCUUCAGAACCAAGUUUUUGUCAUGUUAUACUCUAGUAUUUAGAGAUCAUGCAUGAAACCAGGCAAUAAACAAAUUAUAAGUGCAUGGAUGGAGAAGGUACUUACCUCAUACAAAGACCUAGCAUCUCCAAAGAUGAAAUCAAUGGAACCUUGGAUGUAGCACUCCUUGAAGUAAUGCCUCCCCCUGUCAUCAUGAAGGGUAUCCUGCGCUCCGAAGAACCCGCAACCCCAGAACGCAGAUUGAUCACCACCAACCCUAAUUGCCACUGCCUGGGCUCCAACAUCCCCAGGACUUGGUAUUGGAGCCACAUUCUAGGAUUUAAAGGCAUUGAGAAAUUAGCUACUUGUAAUGUUGAGUUGUUUAGCAAUUUGAACUGCAUGUGUUUCAUUUGUAUUACUAUGAAACUUAUGUUCUUGGCGAUGAAGUUGGUGCCAAAAGUGGAGACUGAAGCACUAUUAAACGUGCCAUGCGCAGAGUUGGCAGUGUCAUUCCAAGCUAUCGCCGUUGAAUACAAUCCUUGCCCUUGAAAUGUAAUGCUGGAUUUGGUCCUUGGAAUAGUUACCUUCUCACUAAUAUCAACAGAACACAUUGUUACUAUAAUGUGCAUGUAAGAGAUAAGAAAACUUGUUGCUAGCUUACUAGUAUAUCCCCUUGUUGAUCCAAAUAACAGUCCUUUUCUGGCUAAAGUUUCCAACUGCAUCUACUGCAGAUUGUACUGUAGUGAAGUUGCAGCACCCAUUGCGGUCAACACACAGAAUCGAGGUCGUGUUUGUGUCGGGUGGGGGGAAGCCUGGCGGGAAGUCGUCGCAUAUCGUUGUAUUGGAUUUUGGAUACUUGUGGUGGUGGUGGUGGUCUGGUUUUUGGGUGCAGAAUGAAAUAAGAUAUGGAAAGAAGGAUGGUGUGAGGAGGUCAAGGUUGAGGAGGCAUUUGAGACAUGGUGGAUAUUGGAAUAUGAGUUGUGUUGAGAGCAGACCUACAAUGAUGGAAGAUAGUAGGGUGAGGGAAGUUCUCUUGGGGCUCAUGGUGGAGUGGUGGACGGGAGGGAAGAGGAGGGAUGGGUGGUUUUAGAAGGAGGUGAUGGUUCCUGUAGAGAAGCAUGGGUGGGGGCUUUGCAAUGCACUUGAAGCACAAGGCUAAAUAGCAUGCCUUGCAAACCACCAUUUUCUUGAGUUUGGGAUGUCAGCCAACCUACCAAGCUUACCAAAUUUUUCAUGGAACAAAAAAUAACGCAAAGUCCCAAUCCUGGCAUGGAUGUUGCUUGAGAUAUUGAGUCCUCUCCGACGAGAGUGACCAGUAAACAAGAGGGUCAGAGUUAGGAGAUAAGGGGGUUUCAUGCAGCGACCUCAUAUUGUUAGGAGACUGCAUGGUGGAUCAGAAAGGGAAAAGGUCUAAUGCUAACUCUGCAUCAAUACGUCCAAAGUUAAAUGCAAGCCCCUAGCUAGUACUGUGAUCUUGUAGUUUUCCUUAUUGAUCAGGUGACUGAUAUCUCACUUAUCCUUAGACUUUUUACUAUCUAUGCCUUCAUCAUAUUCCAAGCUUGAAGUUAUUACAAAGUCUCUUCACUAAGUUAUAUAUCAUUACUCCUAGAAGAUUGAACAAGGACUCGACAAUGACAAGAUAUUAAGUGAAUAUUUGUCGAGUUUGUUGAAAUGUUCUUUGAUCUAACAAAUGAGUUAUUUCAAGUGAUGACUUGCAGGUCAUUAGAUCACAGAGGGUGCUACAAAAACUUUGUUGGGUCAGUGGUACCCUUUAGAAGGAAUAUGAGAUAAAUAAAAUAUCAUAAAAAAGGGUAGUCCCUAAAUAUGGUAGGGAAGGAAGCAGGAGUAACCCAACCGGAAAGAAAGUAUAUUAAAAAAAAAAGGAGAUAUCAAUGUAACAUGAAACCUAUUCUUAGGUAAACCUAAAAUUUAAUAGCAAAGAAGGAGGCUGAAUGAAUAGAUGAUAGCAUUUGUUGGGCAUCUUAGAAUGUACUUAACUUGGUUUCCCAGCUGAUGAAGUCAUGUGGUAGUUUGUGUGAAACCUAAAAUCAGAAACAGUUGUAAGGAAGAUUACUGGUUUGAAACAGAUUGGAGAGCUCCUUCGUGUGUGUGUGUGUCUAUAUAUAUAUAUAUAUACCUACCUCUUUUUUUGAGUUUUGCAUUAGUUCAUUUUUUUUAAGAACAUCCAUUUUUAAAAUGUCAAUGUCAGAGAUUUCUCCUUGUGUCUGUAAUCUAUUUACUAAUCAGAAAUAUUUCAUAUAAUACCGAAGCAAAACUCUUUUUUUUUCCUUUGAGAAGAAAAUAGACAAUGGUCAUCGAUAAUUUAUUGUGAUUAUGAAUUAUGGGGAAGGCUAGAGCUGAACCAAGAUCUUUUGUUUCCAACACCAAAAAAUUUUAUCAACUUAACUUAAUAUCAAGACUGAUCUUGUCUCUGUAAAACGUGUCCUCUAUUCCUUUAAUGAAGAAUCUACUGACCAUCUGUUUUCUAACUACAUGCAUGCUCCACAAGUUUGUGCUGCCGUUUUAUCUAAAGAAUUUGACAUCAUGUCACUGUUUUUAUACAGCAUAUUGGUUGGGGCAUUUGGUUAUCAAGGAACCAUAGAUUCUUUAAAACUCCUCUAAUGUUGUCAGCUAAGUGGUAGAAUUUUGUUUUUUUCUGAAGACUAGCCAAAAGCCAAGAGCCAACUCCUGUCUUGCCAAGUUGAAGAUUUUCUCUACUGCUUUAUGGUUGAAUCUUUCCUUUUUGUCAUUUUUCCUUCUACCUUUCUCUUCUUUUAAUUCCUCUUCUCUCUUGUCCUCGUAUCCCUUUUCUGUACUCUCUGUUGGUUAUGACUUUCAUACUUCUAACAAGUAAUUAGGCUUUGACCUAAUCUUUCUCAAAAAAAAAAAGAAAAAAAAAACUCUGCAAAAGAGUUUAAGAGAACUUACUAAGAUCAAUUUAUUAUAUAACCAAAAACUAGUAUCAAUUAAUGGAAACUUGUAAUCAUAUAUUGUAAUCUUGAGCUAAUUUCAAUAAAGAUGAGGUGCUUAAAAUUAAUUCUUAAAAUUGGUCCAUCAUGAUAUGUCCCUUAAUAAGUUAAGGCUUAGGAAUUUCAAAUUUCAAUAGUCUUGUUUUUGUUUUUGCUGUUUAUAUCUUGUCAUUUUGUCAACCUAAUACUUGAGCGUAUUUAGACCUUCUGAUGAACAUCAUUAAUUAUUAGACUAACAACCUACAGAAGAGAAUUACGUAAUUCUACUAACCAACACGGUAUUUUUUCACUUCCUAAAUGGACAAGAGAUAAUGAUCUGAUGAUUACAUGUUUCUUCAAUUGAUCAGGUAAAAGUAGACAUCUCCAUUUACUUCAUUUGCAUGCAAUUUAGCUGGUAAAUUCAACAUCGAUUAUGGAUUCAUGCGACGCAAAAGUUGUGGAGAGUAGAAUGGAGAAGGAAGCAAGAGUGCAAUUGGGAGAUUCCAGAAUCCCAUAAUUUCAUGAAAGCAGGGACGCCAGACUCCUUUUAUUUUCCACCUUUUUUUGUUUUGUUUUGGGUGACUGCAAACUUUUUCCAAGAAGGAUACUCCACAGACAGGAAAUGUCGGUAUCCAAAGAGGCCCUAACAUAAAUGCAGAUGCUGUUCUUUGAUUUGCAUACAACUGAAUAUGGAGCAUGGACAUAUUUCUACUCUUAUAAAGCUUGCUACUUCUUCGGUGUCUUUAGCCCAACCAUGGCACAUGAGUUUCACAUAUAGUUCUUUCAGUCAAAGACAUCUUAAGUUUGUCCAACUUCUGCUUUACUAGGAGGAUUAGUAGGAGUGCAUCACGUUAAGCCUACAAGUCUAGAUGGAAUGGAAAUCAGACAUCAGUGCUUCGGAUCACAGAUAUCCAAAGUUCCCCUCCCAUGCAUCACAUAUACCUUGAACUUAUGUUUUCGCCGGCAGUGAGUCCUCCAGGGUGUGGGGCUGUCCCGAUUCCUUUUCAUGAUAUUCUAUUUACUUUAUGGAAUGCAUCCAUACUAGAUAUAUAUGAACCAUCCAUCACCAACCAAAAAAAAAAACAUGUUUCCAUGGGAGUCCAUAAUUCCACAUCUGUAUCCACCAAAAGGCAUAAAAGAGUCGAUCCAGAUGUCCCAACCCAAUCUGAGAUUGAUCUUAUACUCCUUCCAAAAUUGAUAUUAUUGUUCUUGUAGUAGCUGACAUCUGUGCACAAGGGAGUAUCAAGAGGAAAGCCUUCCAUAAGUAUACAAGGGAUCAUCCAGGAGGGACCUUGCAUGGAGAAAAUGUUGCACAGAUAAAUAUUAGGAUAGCGAAAUGCUCGCAAAAAUUGCAAGGCACGCUGCUGGAACCUUGCUUCACCUCCCAGACUUUGCAUAUACUGAAAGCAAAUUAUUGGUGCAAGAAGAAUCCCAUCAGCUUGUUGAACUAGACAUAAAAAUUUCUAUUGGAGACUUCUUAUGAACUAAGCAAGCUGGUUGACAAUAUUCUUCUCUUCAAUGAAGAGAGAGAGAGAGAGAAUGUAAUCUAAAGGUCUACAAUAUUACUCUCUUCAGUGAAAACAAACACAAAGAAACCUGAACAAGCUGAGGACCACUUACCAUUAAAGAUGAUCAACAUGUGCCUAAUUAGCAGUAAUAGAAUGGAUCUUACCCGUGCUUAGAAUAAGGUUACAAGGCACUCCAAUAAUGGCCUGCAAUUUUUUACUUGACACACUCACCAUGGCCUCUGAGGUGAAACUAUGACAGAUUGACACACAGGGCUUAAUGAUAGCUGUCAGCAUGCAACAUUGCAAAAGACUGCUCAUACUAAUACACUGCAAGCAGCUGCGAGGCUCACAACAACAACAAAAAUCUCAUCUUCUGAACCAUGCAACAGUCCCAAAAAAGCUUUGCUUGUAUCUUUUCAUAAGUAGAAUUUGUAUUGGGUGGAAAUCCAAAAAGUUUACUGUUUAAACAGUGAGUUUCAUCAUUCAGAAUGAGAAACACAGAACCAGCAUUACAGCGAGUUUUAAAAGAGAUAAAAGAGAAGGUCAAAUGGCAUUAGUUCAAUCCAACAGCUCUACUCAAAACUGAAUCUACUUCAACCAAAUGCAAUCUGUAAGAAAAUGAUGUUAAAAACUUCAGACUGCAGCAAAGGCCUUCUUCCCACCCCCUUUUGAUCCAGCUGGAAUAACUUUCAGAACAUUGAACCUCACAGUCUUGGACAAUGGCCUGAAAGACAAGGUGAUUCAUAUGAUAUAGGAUACAGUGAUUGUGAAGCAAUGUGCAAAAUGAAGUGAGCUUUAUAAGAGCCAUAUUAUAGACAAUUUAACUAAACUAACCCUAUCAUAUAAAUAAAACAAAACAUAUUCACUUAGUACCAUAGCUGAACUCAAAGUAAAUGAAGUAAGGUCAUUUAAAACCUUAAAAGCAUUAUGGUUGGUAGAUCACAGGGCAUACCUGCACUGGCCAAUGAUAACAUGGUCCCCUUCCUUCACACGGAAGCAUGGGGAUACGUGUGCUGCGAUAUUGGAAUGCCUCUUCUCAUACCUGGCAGACAAAAUAGUCAUUUCAUUAUCAUAUGGCGAAAUAACUUGUUUGGAAAACACCAAAACAUUUAAAAAAACUGCCAAUUGGAUUACCUCUGAUACUUCUUCACAUAGUGGAGGUAAUUUCUACGGACGAUGAUAGUUCUGUUCAUCUUUGCACUAUGGCAUGUGCCAGCUAAAAUGCGACCCCUAAUAGAUACAGUGCCAGUGAAUGGGCAUUUCUUAUCAAUGUAUGUUCCUACACGAAAAAAAAACAUAAAUGUUAAACUAGGGAUCUCUAUUUUGCAUGAGGUACCAUAGUCAAGGAUAAUUGGUGUACCCGACAGCUUAUUACACAAUAAUGUGAGUAGGACAAUAGACUAGAAGACUGUAGGCGAUCCUCCUGUGGGCCUAUCUGGCCCAAAAAUCCAAUUAAAAAGUAACUUAUCUGAAAAAUGCUUAACCAGCAUUUAUGACCUUUCUAGAUUUUAUACAGCAUCCAUGUCUAAUUAAGUUACCAAGUAACCUGUAGAAUAUAGAUCAGAAAUGAAGUCUCCAUCUCAUUUUUUUUUAUCAAUACAUCUUUUAAAGAAACAUUGUAAGACCAGUAGCUCUACCCAACUGCUCUUGCUUCUUAUUAAGGAUUUUAAUGAAGAUAAAAUUAAUAGAAGAUGUGGAAACCCAAAUAAUGAAACAAACUAUUCAUAUAGACAUAACCACACGACUCCAGGUCUAAGAUAAUGCUUCCUUGUUAGAAGUUAAACAAGUGAGUAGUAAUUUAAUUCUAUAUCAUCCUAUGACAAUAUAUAUAUAUAUAACUGAGAAAACAAAAGAAAUGUACCUCUUAUUCCUAGGAUGACAGAAAUAUUUGUAAAUCACAUAUGUACAUAGAAAAAUACUAAUAGACAAAAAGGUAGAUGUUGUGUAUGAGGCAACAUGUGAAGAAAACAAAACAAAAUGAAAAAGAUGCAUGUUCUACCGUUAUCUAUUCUACUAUUAAAAGGAAACUCCAACAAUGCCUCUGUACAUGAGGCUUUGCUCCAUGUGUCUCCAAUAUCCAUUUCCCAAAAUACCCUUUCAUACACACGUGUUUCCUACCCACAUGUUUCCCAGCAUCGCAUAUCAUGUGCGGCAGUAGCACAGACGUAAUAAUUUCUUUGUGAAGAAAGGAAACUUCCUAAGGUGCAUGCAAUAGGAUACAGCUACAUUAUAAAGAAAACCUAAUAGAUGAACCACUGAAGGACAGGAUCAACAAUCAUGUAAAACAGAAAGCAAAAACAGCAGAAUGGAAGUCAUGCAGAAGGAAUUGAGGCAAACUGAUACACAUAACCUUUGACAUGAUUGAGUGGAGAAGCAAUGGCUACACUUCAAUAAGCCAACUAGGAUAUGCAUGAUCAUUGGUUGAUGUUAAUUGUCAUAGUUCCCAAUGUAACAUGAGAUAUGCCAAUGAUUUAAUGAUAAUGCGUCCUAAAGUAAAGAUGAGGUAUGCCAUUGAUAUCUGGUUCAAAAUGUUCGUCAAUAAAGAGAGCCCAACAAAACAAGCUAAAUGUACCAGAAAUGAAUUAGAGAAGAUGAAGGAGUUGCACCAAUUAAAGACAAGGUGAUGGAGAACCAGUUGAGAUGGUAUGGCCAUGCACAGCAAAGAUUCAAGAAGGAACCAAUAAGAAGAGGUAGUGUAAUCUUUGUCAAAGAAUCUAGUCAACACAGACCUAUAAUGACAUGGACAGGUGAAUGUGAAAACAAAAAGAGUUCGCAAAUGAAGGCUCGAGAGGUGAGGAUCUUGCAAAUCAAGCAUAGGUAACAUGGUUGACUUAAGAUCCAAGGACCUGCAAGAUCCAUAUGCAGCGUAUCAAGAUUGAUCCAAUUACAGUUGUGUUUAUGGAGUUGUAUGCUUCUAUGCAAAGAUUAGUGGCAUGAACCAAGUGCAGAAGCAUCCUCACUUGGCAUGCCUUGAGAUGACAUUAAUAACUGCCAACUAGUCAAUAAUCACAUGGCACUGUUGUCACUAAGGUCCAUUGGGUCAACUUGCCAUCUCUUCAAAAUCAUAAGAAACCAAUCACAGAAAAGAAAUCAAACCACUGAAAAAAUGAGAGCAUAAACAGUACAACGAGAUAGUUGAGGAAAAGAAAAGGCUAGUUUAACCUUCAAACCAAGAAUAGCAUGAGAAAGUUCUCCAUGGUGUAGCACCUCAUGAUCUUCAACUUAAGAAAACAAAAAAUGGUUGAGAUAUAUGACAGGCUUAAAGGCAAAAAAAAGCACCAUUGUAUGCAUAUUUUCAGUUGGUUGCUUGUGGUAUAAAACCUCAUUUUCAUCUACUUAUGGAAAAUAAAUACUUAAGUUUUGUAUCUUUAUCAUCAAAGAUUGCUGUAGAUGGGAACCUCCAAUCAAAAAGAAAAAGAAAGAAAAAGAUUCAUUGCACUGAGACAUAAAACAAGAACGUUGGCACUUACUACUUACGAAAUGCAAAUGACAUACACCAAAAUGCUUGUUCAGGAUAAAUUAAGAAAUCCAUAAAAAGAAUAGGUUAGGAUGUCAGACCUUCAAUAGCUUCCCUAGGAGUCUUGAAUCCAAGACCAAUGCUCUUCCAGAAGCGGUUCCCGCCCUUACCAGGUCUCUUUCCCUUACCAGAUUUCUUCGAGCUACAGCAUCCCCAACACUUGUCAAAGAAAGCUUACAUAUAGAAUUGUAAAGAGAGGGCAAGGCGAAAGAAAAAGUUUCUUACCAAAGGAAAACCUUUGGCUGCUUAAGGAAUGCCCUCUCAGUCUGCAUUUAAAAUUCAUGGAUGCAAAGCAUUAAAACUCCAAAAAAAUAUAUUGUAAAACCUAAUUACUUUCAUGGAUCUAUAUGCUUGAGUUGCCCACACAUCAGAUGAAAAGAAUAGCCAUGAAACAAUAGCAGUAUGAUCUUCUCCAUGGAAAAGUAGAUAAGGUUAAACCAUCGAAGAGAAGAGGGAUGAAAGAGAAUUUUUAUUAAAAAAAAAUCUUCAUUACCUAUAGCAGGAUGAAAUAAAUAAUAUACUUAGGGCAAAAGAUUUAAGGUCUAAAACAAAGUUAGGAGCAGAUAGACUAAGGUUUUAAUAGGGAAAAUUUGUUACAUGCCAAACAGCCGCCACAACCAACUCCUUGGACAUUUAGACAUUAGAUUUAUAAACUUUUAUAUAAUAUCGGAAGCACAUCAGUCUGUGUGGUCAUUAACCACAUCAACGAAGAUGUCCUUUGGAGAAAAACAGAUUGUAUGUUAAUUGUGAUAAAACCAAUGUUUGAAAGACUGUAGCCAGUGGAUGAAAGGUCAGGACCAUCACACAACAGCAUGUUUGGCAGGUGGCAAUAUGUACCCAAAACAAAAAUAAUAAACUUAGAAAACUUAUAGGUAUAGGGAGAAAUCUAGAAAAGUUAGUCCAAAACACGAAACAUAAUAUAUCAAAUAAGUCAUGGGAAGUCAAGGGAAAGUACCAAGUACCAACUUGGCGACAUUUGAUAAUACCACCAUAAAUUGAUUAGGUGGCAUUCUUUUCCAAAGCACUGGAUCAGAACAGCUAUUGUCGUCAAACGUUUUGAAUUUUACAAGAAUUAGCAUACAAGAGAAAGAUUUGUUUUUUCUCUUUGCAUCAGGAAACAAAUAUUACCUCCCAUCUACACUAUAUGAAUCAUAUACUCUCAAUUGCAUAAAAAUUGAGUCUGCUGAUAAUUUUUUUUCGCAUGUAAAGCCCCCAAUCAACUACCUUGAUGAAAAACUACAAAGAGGAUAUAAACAUAAUGCAAGCAAGAAGCAGAAUUAUUUCCGUGAAUUGAAGAAAACAAUCAGGGAGUCUAUUUAAUUCAAACUAUAUCUAAAACCUAAACCAGGCGCACCCCAAACAUGAGAAAUCUUAAAGAUUCAAACUUUCUUAGUAAUUAAUCGGUUUCCAGAAUACCUA
rnacentral:lncRNA from 1 species